UGAAUACGAGACGCUAAGGCGUCGAAGUAGUGUAUGUCAUACUUCCAAGAAAAGCUUGCACUGUCAUAGAUAAAAAACGCCUGUACCAUAACCGACACAGGUGGGUAGGUAGAGUAUACUAAGGGGCGCGAGAUAACUCUCUCUAAGGAACUCGGCAAAAUAACUCCGUAACUUCGGGAGAAGGAGUGCCUUAUUCGUAAGGUUGCAAUAACAAGAUCCAAGCAACUGUUUAUCAAAAACACAGGUCUCCGCUAAGUCGUAAGACGAUGUAUGGGGGCUGACGCCUGCCCAGUGCCAGAAGGUUAAAGAAGUUGGUUAGCAAUUGCGAAGCUGAUAACUGAAGCCCUGGUGAACGGCGGCCGUAACUAUAACGGUCCUAAGGUAGCGAAAUUCCUUGUCGGGUAAGUUCCGACCCGCACGAAAGGCGUAACGAUUUGGAUACUGUCUCGGAGAGGGGCUCGGUGAAAUAGACUUGUCUGUGAAGAUGCGGACUACCUGCACCAGGACAGAAAGACCCUAUGAAGCUUUACUGUAACUUGAAAUUGAAAUUGGACUUUAUUCGCGCAGUAUAGGUGGGAGGCGUUGAUUAUAAUCUUGUGGGAUUAUUGGAGCCAUCAGUGAGAUACCACUCUUGUAAUGUUAGAUUUCUAACUUUGAAUCAUUAUCUGGUCAAAGAACAGUUUCAGGCGGGCAGUUUGACUGGGGCGGUCGCCUCCUAAACGGUAACGGAGGCGUACAAAGGUUUCCUCUGAACGGUUAGAAAUCGUAUCUAGAGUGUAAAGGCAUAAGGAAGCUUGACUGUGAGACCUACAAGUCGAGCAGGGACGAAAGUCGGUCUUAGUGAUCUGACGGUACUGAGUGGAAAGGCCGUCACUCAACGGAUAAAAGUUACUCUAGGAUAACAGGCUGAUCUCCCCCAAGAGUUCACAUCGACGGGGAGGUUUGGCACCUCGAUGUCGGCUCAUCGCAUCCUGGGGCGGUAGUACGUCCCAAGGGUUGGGCUGUUCGCCCAUGAAAGCGGUACGCGAGCUGGGUUCAGAACGUCGUGAGACAGUUCGGUCCAUAUCCGGUGUAGGCGUUAGAAUAUUGAGAGGAGCCUUCUUUAGUACGAGAGGACCGAGAAGGACAUACCUCUGGUGUACCAGUUAUCGUGCCAACGGUAAACGCUGGGUAGCUAUGUAUGGAGUGGAUAACCGCUGAAAGCAUCUAAGUGGGAAGCCCACCUCAAGAUAAG
rnacentral:rRNA from 1 species